rnacentral:rRNA from 1 species
AGUUAUCUGAACCUUCGGGGAACGAUAACGGCGUCGAGCGGCGGACGGGUGAGUAAUGCCUAGGAAAUUGCCCUGAUGUGGGGGAUAACCAUUGGAAACGAUGGCUAAUACCGCAUAAUACCUUCGGGUCAAAGAGGGGGACCUUCGGGCCUCUCGCGUCAGGAUAUGCCUAGGUGGGAUUAGCUAGUUGGUGAGGUAAUGGCUCACCAAGGCGACGAUCCCUAGCUGGUCUGAGAGGAUGAUCAGCCACACUGGAACUGAGACACGGUCCAGACUCCUACGGGAGGCAGCAGUGGGGAAUAUUGCACAAUGGGCGCAAGCCUGAUGCAGCCAUGCCGCGUGUGUGAAGAAGGCCUUCGGGUUGUAAAGCACUUUCAGUCGUGAGGAA